GAUGAACGCUGGCGGCGUGCCUAAGACAUGCAAGUCGAGUGGCCACUUUACUGUGGCCACGGCGAACGGGUGAGUAAUACCUAGGAACUUUCUUUAAGUGAGGCAUAACCCAUGUAAUGUGGGAUAAUACCUCAUGUGAUCGCAAGAUCAAAGCCACGCAAGUGGCGCUUAAAGUGAGGCCUGGGCACCAUCAGCUAGUUGGUAGGGUAAUGGCCUACCAAGGCUAUGACGGUUAGGGGCCCCCGAGAGGGGGAACCCCCACACUGGGACUGCGGCACGGCCCAGACUCCUACGGGAGGCAGCAGUUUGGAAUAUUGGACAAUGGGCGAAAGCCUGAUCCAGCGACGCCGCGUGGACGAUGAAGGCC
rnacentral:rRNA from 1 species